CUUCACUCAGUGGUAGCCAGUAAUGCCCAUGACCCAGGAGAGGCCAGGCCCAGACUCUCUCCCCAGCCGGCAGUCCUGGGCUGUGGCUCUUUCACUUCCUUCUUCAUUUUUCUGACGAGAACAGAUGCCGCCGCAGCUGACAAGCAGCCUGCCGGUGUGACAGGGAAGGCGGAUCCAGCCCUUGUUUGUCUGACUUGAUGAGCGACUACCAUGUGCUGGGCCUCUGCCGGCUACUAGGACACAAGGACGAAGUAGUCACCAGCAUCCUCCAGAAGGACAGUCUGGGGAAUCGGCAGGGACCCUGGCAUGAGAUGCUCUGAUGGAGCAGGACUCCGAGGCCCGGCUGCCUGGUCCCCAUCAGUCUCCACCACUUCCAGCUGUGAAUCGCACAAGGCCCUUAAGCCCCACGGCUGUAAAAUGGGAUGCUAAGGACACCCGCUCGGUUGGGUGUUAGACAGAUUAAACACGUUCGCACGUGGAACUCAUUUGGUUACAGUGCCUGGCACACAGCAAGCUCCUUCUGCCCACAUCCACAUCCUAGAAUAGUGGCUCCUCACCAAAUCCUGGGAGCUCCUCUGCUCCUCUGUCGUCCCUCACACCCCCUCACCUCCAGAAGUGUCAGGGUCUAACCACCAUGCUUCCAGCUGCAAGUCUCUUCUGAUCAUCACAGCAGACACCUGCAUGUACCAUGCACAGUGUGCUCCCCGCUGAACUCACAUGUCCUCUGCCUAAGCCCACAGGGGGAGGGUCUCCAGAGGCCCUGAGACCUGAUCUUGGAAGAGGGUUGGAGUUUGGCUUGGGGUGAAACGGCUCCCUGCCCCAAGCCAGGUAUAUGCACCUCACCAAUCCCUCAGGCCCAGGCAGUAUGUGGCACCCCUGACUGCAGUAAGCUGGCUUCCCAGCUGGACAGUUCUUCCUGGCAGCUGGCCUCAGGCUCUCCAGCUGCAGUGCCAAGGAUCACAUGCUGGCCAAGCAGAGAGGCUGCUGGGUGGUCUGCAGAGGCCGUUUUCCCUGACUCCACCCCUGCCCACGGUCCCAGGGAGCAGGUACCAAGCCAGGAAUCUGCCCUCCUCUCACGUCCUGGAAACUGCUACUCACCUUGCAAGACUCAGAAAACAUUGCUUCCUCCAGGAAGUCCUCCGCGAUGGCCCUGCCAUCUCUUCCAGGAAGCCUUCCCUGAUUCUUCAAGAGUUGGCACCUUCGGCCUGAAUGCUGCGUUCAGAUGCUCCCCGCCCCCAGGAGGGUCAUUACUCCUUCCAUGUCCAGCUCCCCACCUGGCCGGGAGCAUCUUGAGAACAAGCAGAGCCCGAUUCCCCAGGGUCUCCAGCCCGGCACACAGCGAGCGCUCGGAAAAUGUUGGUUGACCCUGUGAUGCUAGGUUGGCUAGAAGGUGGUCAAUGUCUAUUCCCUGAGGCUUCCCCCAGCUUCAUUUAAGGAUGCAGCUCUGCCCUCUGUCUCCUGGCUCAUCUGUAAGGGUCAAGGUGCUUGGUCCAGAGCAGACUGUGUGCAGCUGCCCAGCCCUGGAGGAGCUCCACAGGCGCGUGCCCAGAGCAGGCACAGACCUCUGCUUGUGGCUGGGCUCUCCCUGCUCCUGUUUCCCCCAGGACAGCCACGUCCCCCAGGCCGGAGACCAAUCCCUGAGACCAGCCACGGCGACUCCCCCAUCCCUGCUAUCACCGCCAUCACCAUCACAGAGGCCUCCCUCAGAGGGGGUGGUGCAGAGGGAGGAGGGGGGAAGUGAGGUGGUGGAGGGGGAUAAAGGCCAAAGGAGGCAGAGGGAAGGGAGGGGAGGGGAGAAGAGAAGCGGGUUUGAUCGCCUGUUCCUCUCCGCCUGCAGCCUGAUGCUUCACCAGUUAAUUGCCGGCCAUUCGGGCCCCAGCCCCUCCUCAUUACCAUGAUUAGCAUUGAGCGAGCUGCGCAUUUUACGACUCUCCAAACCAAAAAAAUAAUUAAAGCAAUUACUGUCAUUAACACUCUGCCCUCUUCACCACCUUCGCUGAGAGUGAGCAGCGAACAGGCCCUGGGGCAUCGUGAUUGGACCCCGAGUGCCUUCUCUCCUCAUCUUGCACUCCCCCCCCCCCCCCCCCC
ensembl:lncRNA